CGGUCUAACCACCGGGAUGUUCAUAACCCUUUGUUGUCCGACUCUGUUGCCUCCGGGGCGACCCUGCCUUCGGGCGGGGGCUCCGGGUGGACACUUCAAACUCUUGCGUAACUUUGCAGUCUGAGUAAACUUAAUUAAUAAAUUAAAACUUUUAACAACGGAUCUCUUGGUUCUGGCAUCGAUGAAGAACGCAGCGAAAUGCGAUAAGUAAUGUGAAUUGCAGAAUUCAGUGAAUCAUCGAAUCUUUGAACGCACAUUGCGCCCCCUGGUAUUCCGGGGGGCAUGCCUGUUCGAGCGUCAUUUCACCACUCAAGCCUCGCUUGGUAUUGGGCAACGCGGUCCGCCGCGUGCCUCAAAUCGACCGGCUGGGUCUUCUGUCCCCUAAGCGUUGUGGAAACUAUUCGCUAAAGGGUGUUCGGGAGGCUACGCCGUAAAACAACCCCAUUUCUAAGGUUGACCUCGGAUCAGGUAGGGAUACCCGC
rnacentral:rRNA from 1 species